GUAGUCUCGCACAGAUGCAUAUCAAUAAGCGGAGGAAAAGAAACUAACAAGGAUUCCCUUAGUAACGGCGAGUGAAGCGGGAAGAGCUCAAAUUUGAAAUCUUGAAAGGUCACCUUUCACGAAUUGUAGUUUAAAGAAGUGUUUUCUGUUACGAUCGUAAUAUAAGUUCUUUGGAAUAGGACAUCACAGAGGGUGAGAAUCCCGUCUAUGAUUGCGAUUUGUAGCUUUGUGAUACACUUUCAAAGAGUCGGGUUGUCUGGGAAUGCAGCCCAAAACGGGAGGUAAAUUUCUUCUAAGGCUAAAUAUUGGCGAGAGACCGAUAGCGAACAAGUACCGUGAGGGAAAGAUGAAAAGAACUUUGAAAAGAGAGUUAAACAGUACGUGAAAUUGUCAAAAGGGAAGCGUUUGACACCAGUGUUGUUUUCUCGAAAAUCAAUUAAAAAGAGUUAGAUUUUGUUGUGUAUUGACCUUAACAGCUUGCAUUUCAAUUUUCUUGCUUUUUUUAAUGCACUUUUCGUUUAACAAGUCAACAUCAGUUUCUUUUGUUGUAAAAAGGUCAUUGGAAGGUGGCUUUCUUUUCGGAGAAAGUGUUUAUAGCCUUUGACUCCUGCAAUCGGAGAGACUGAGGUCUGCAGCGUAGAUCCUUCGGGGUUAGAUACAUUUGUGCUAAGUUAUAGCUUUUUAUAGACAACUUGUUGACUAUGAUUAGUCUUGUAGCUUACUCGCUUAUGCUAUUUUACCUACGCUUAGGAUGUUGAAGAUGUAGCACAUCAU
rnacentral:rRNA from 1 species